rnacentral:tRNA from 1 species
GGCCUUGUGGUGGAAUUGGUAGACGCGCUGGACUCAAAAUCCAGUAUUCGCAAGAAUGUGGGAGUUCGAUUCUCCCCGGGGCCACCA